rnacentral:misc_RNA from 1 species
GUUGAAAGAAUCACCGCAAGCAUCCUCACUACUACUAGUCUUCUUUAUUUUAAGCCUUCUUCUCUUCAACCCAACUGUCACCCCACCGCCCGCCCUCGCUACCUCACUCCCAGACCCGUGCCAUCGCUCAACUCUCCGACAUUAAGCAGGCACACACACCCUCCUCUCCAUCCCCGCUCUGCACCCCACCCCACCCCUCUCCCUCUUUGCCUGCUCUUUCAAGGACGGGAAAGCUGAGCAGACUCAAGAUGACGAGCCAGUCGCACGUGACCAUGUUCAAGAACACCGGCUCCGUCACGGAGCAACACAAGCGCAUCUCACAUACCACUGGCGACAACAACGAGGAGGAGAAACACAUUCUUGCUGGUCGCUACAAGACGAAGCUGUGCAAGAACUACGUGGCGAAGGGCGAGUGCCCGUACGAUGUGCGCUGCAUGUUCGCGCAUGGUGAGGACGAGCUACGCACCAGCGACGACAACAUCCGCGACGGUCUCGUCACUGAGGAAGCAAUUAAGGACUUCCAGCGUCAGCAGAACCAAGCAAAGCGCCGCGCAGCGUUUGCCGCCGCCCGCGAGCACAACAACCAUGACCACAGUCGCAGUCACAGCCACAGCCACAACGUACGCCCCGUGCCCCACCGCAACGUUUACGAGAUGGAGGAGAAUGUGGAGAGCAACGAGGUGUACCGCAACCGCCACCGCCACCACAAUCUGCGUCUGCAUCCCCAGCAAGAGCCCGUGUCUAUACCUCAGCCACAGCAGCAGCAGCAGCAAGAGCAGCAGUUCCAGCUGCAGAGCGCGGUGGCGCAGUACUACACACACAACCCGUACGUCUUCGACCUGAUCCCCGCCGCGGCGCGUCUGUUCCCAGUCUACCAAGAAGUUGUCGAGGAGGGCUGCUGGUACGAGGAGGAGCCGGUACCUGCUCAGGAGGACUACUACUUCCCGUCUUCGGAUAUGAUGAUGCCGCUUGUGCCGAGCUUGGUGACGCAGCAAUACCUGCCGUACCCGCACCAGCAGUGCGGCAAGCAGUUCGAGACGGUCGCCUCCGCCAGCACCUACAGCGGUGAGGAGGCCAUGUACGGCCACAGUGAGUCCUCGGCUAGCUCGGCGUACCGCUCGGUGGCGCGUUGUACGGCUGCUGAGCUCCCCAGCAACUCCGACAUUCCGGCGAUGGUGAUGGAGCCCUAAGACGCCACUGUUUGGACGACAAGGGCAGAACAUCAAAAAGCAAAGGACAAACAGAGCGAAAGAAAGCAGACGAUGUUUGCAUCGCAUUUUUCCCCAUCCCUUCCCUCCCCCUCUCACUCUCACUCUCUCCCCUGUCGUGAUUGAUUUGUCGCUCGUUACACCCACGCUCCCUUCUAGGGAGGUGAACGUGUGUCUUUGUGUGCGUGUGUUUAUUUUUCGUUGUUGUUUUUUUUUUUUGCUUUUGUUUUGUUGAUUGGUGUUGUGUGUGUGUGUGUGUGUGUGUGUGGGUGGGUGGGUGGGUGGGUAUGUGGCACACCCCCUCUUCUACACAAAGACAUGCAGAUAUGUCCAUGGCCAUCGUACACCCCCAUCUCCACCUCUCCCUUCAGGCCAACGCCCCCUCCCACUCCCUUAUACCACCACCGUCUCCGUUCAACCGAUCCACAGGGGAAGGUGGAAAAAGACGAGUUGCGAAACACACGCAAGAGAGGGAGGGGUGCAUAUGGGAACCAAAGCAAAUCAAGCAUAAGAGGGGAAGCAAAGAACAACCAAGAAGGCUAGUGUGUGUAUGUGUGUCUGUGUGUCUGUGUUUGUGUGUGUGUGUUGCUUGAUCGAAUCGUGUGUAUGUUCGUUUUGUUCUCGCUCGUGUUUUGUGUCCGUAUCUUUAUUUAUUUGCUCUUUUCUGUUUCGUUCUUUCUCUCUGUCUCUCUUUCCGUUGCUCUCCCGCUGUUUUUUUUUUGUUGUUGUCUCUUUUCUUGCUCCUUCCCUUCGUCUUUUUCGUAGGCUGCGUUCUGCUCUCACUCUCUGCCGCGCAACGCGUGUCUGCGUCUAUGCGUUUUUAUCUGCCCUUCCUCUUUCCCUGUAUUUUGCUUUUGUUUUCUUUUUUGUUUUGUGUUGGGUUUGUCAUCCCUUCCAUCUUCUUACCCGCGGCGUGGGUUUCGCCUCUUCUCACUGCAGACCUCUGUCUUCUCGCUGCAUCGCGAGCGUGUGCGCAUACGAGUGGAAGGGAGGGGUGGGGGUGCGUGUGUGCACGGAUUUGAAUGACGACGUACAUAUUUCCGCCCAUCCCAUCACUCGCCUCCCCGUCCUUCCUCCAUGGGAUGCACGUAAAGUGAGGCAGGCGGGCAAGGAGACUGCUCAGAUGGCGGAGAAGCCGGCAACGCUCAUCAAUGAGAAGGUCUACUGCUCUUGUAAGUGUGGUGGGCACGUGUACGUUGGUGUUGCUGCACGAGUGCCCGCAAGGUGUAUACAUUUAUGCAUAUGCGAGAGGCACCUCAGCAUAGCACAGCAACGGAUGAACAAGGCGCCCACGCAGAACAGUGUCGUCCCCUUCCACCACCACCACUCUCUCUCGCCCACCUUUAUGCGCCUUGCUCUCCUUCCUGCCGGUCUGAAGGCCUACAUCUGGUCGUGCACUGACUAACGGCAGGGAAGAGACGACAGGAAAGUAGAAGGCGAGGACGAAGCGCAUGUCGUGCGGUGUACUGUGUUUUUUCUUUCUCUCCAAUGGAUACCGAGAGAGAAACGCACUCUCAAACUUGCAGACGCUGACCGACAACGACUUGAAAAGAGAGUUGUUUUGAUAAAAAGGCAAAAAAGAAGUGCGCGCAACACACGGAGAUAUGAAGCAAAGUCCAAUAGUAAUAAAAGGAAACCAAAGAAAAAACGGGAGAUGAAGCAACAACGAAAAAAAGGUAAAACAGAUGAUACCCUAACGGAGCUGCUGGUCGCCGGCCACGACAAGAGAAAACCUUUUUUUUUUGAAUGGAGGGCUAGGCGAGGUUGGGGGGUGAGGAGCUGGGCGAAGAGGCUUGGGAGAUACGAGCGGGAUAAAGACAGAGGGAGAAGAGAGAAGCGCCCGUAUGCGCAUGUGUGCAUGUAUACGUGAGUGGAAGAACAUCAAGAACUCGCAACCACCACCACCACACCUGCACACACACACACACGCACAGGCACAACCACCCUCUCUCUCUUCCUCGUCUUCAUCUCUUCGUGUCCGGCCCCCUCUGUGCUUUUCGUUACAAACAUACACAAUGCGCAAUGUGUGUUUGUGUGUGUGUGUGUGAAAGAGGAGUGCGCCCCUCCCCCUUCCCACCUUGUCCUUGUAUGCGGCUAAAAAAAGCGGGGGGAGAAAAGCUAGAGCUGCCACGCAAGAGAAUAUAAAGCUCUUGACAAGUGAUUGCUUGCUUUUUUCUUUUUGAUUCCCUUUCGCUUUUGCCCCCUUGUUCAGCUUCGAUGUGUAGCCUCUCCCGCCCCACAUCCCACACACACACAAACUCACUCGAACUUGUCGCGUCCCUUCCUGUCUCCCAUGGUCGGUGUUGCUGUUUUUCGUUUCUCUUUGUUUCUCGCAUGCUGCUUCACUAUUUCCCCCCCCCCUUUUUUUUGCGGUGGUAGUGAUGGUCGCCGUGUUGGUGGCACUCAGAGACACUCACGCGCGCACGAACACACACUUAAGAUUUCAUAUAUGUAUAUAUAUACAUAUACAGCUAAAUAAGCAAGAACAAAAAAAAGAAAUUCAAAGCAGAGAAUAACGAGAUCCAAAAAGUUUUUUUUUUUACUCUCAUGUCUUUGUUUGUGUGUGUUCAGUUUUUGUUUUUUUGUUUUUUUUUGGGGGGGAGGGAGACACGGCAGUGGUAGAGUUGCAUGAUGUGCCUCUCCCAUUUUUAUGGUGUUUUUCUCGUGUGUUCUGUUCUGUUGCUGUUGUUCGCUUUUGGGGGAGGGGGUUUGGCGCCAGUGUGGGUCCGCGCAUAUGUGAGGGUAGAGGAGUUAUGUGGGUGUGCAUCCGCUCACUCUGUUCUCUCUCUUUCACACCUCCCCAGUAGACGAAGCCUCACGCACGCACACACACACACACACACACACACACACACACACAAAAAAAAAAAGAGUACACACAUACACCGGGAUGACGAGGAAGCAACACUCGUUGCAUGUUCCCUUCUUUGCUGUAUCGCGCAUACACUGCUCUUUCGAUUUGUCAUGGAUUUGUAUGCGUAUGUGUGAGUGGGUGUGCUUGUAGGCUCGACUGCCUUUUUUUCCUCUUCGUCCUCUUCACCCCCUUGGAUACACGUGAAACGGUUUUUUAAUGCUGGUCUGCUUCCUUUUUCCCCCUGUUAUGCUUUGAUCCUGUUGACUGUUGCUGCCCUUUUGUUUUCGGGUGUGUGCGUGUGCAUGUGCGCGUGUGGGUUUUUCGGUUCUCUCUUUCCUCGCCAUUUCUGGUGCUGUUUAUCUUCCCCUUUCUUGCUCAUCACCUGCCUGCAGCGCCCAGACGCUGCCACAUCGCCGAUGUUCCCCCUCUCUACUGCUUCCCCACCGCAUACAACGUAUACACUCGGACACAAACGCACCCUGUACGGAAACGAACCGAUAAGAUCAAAGAGCGCAAGAGACCAGACAUUGCUCCCCCCUCUCUCUCUCUCUCUCGGGAUGUCUGAACUCAUUCGAACGUGUGCGGCCCUUCGUGGAUGUAGAUUUACAUGUAUGGUCCGUGGGCGUGUGUCAUCGUAGCUUGCAAGAAGAAGCUCCUUUCCCCCUUUUUGAUGAUUGCUGUUUGAGCUCUCGUUCGCUGCCGCUUCUCCGUUUUUGUUUGUUUGUUUCGCGCACGCCUUGUGUUGUGUUGUGUUGUUGUUUGUUGUUGUUUGCUUCACUUGUGCUUGUUAGCUGUACGCUUUAGGCGUGGGAUUUGGGGGUGGUCCACGCGAUUAGGCGCACACGAAAAAGGGAGACACAAAAGCGAACGUGAAAAAAGAAUGGGGAGCAUAGCGAGCGAAAAGACAGCGAAAACAUUGUUGAAAACACAAAAAAAAAGAGGAGCAUACGGUAAAAUGACGAAGUCAUGGGCGGUGGAAGCGUAUUUGGGGGGUUGGCAGACGCACACGUUCUCAAAUGGCGGUGUGUAUAUGUGUGUGUGUGUGUUAUCAUUCUCUUGCAGUUGUUGGUGAAACACUCGCAAGCAACAACGUAUGCGUCCACGAAAUGGCAAAAAGAAUGGAAGCAGUAGUUCUACCGUGGGUAUGUACGUAGGAGUCGCACACCAAACUCGUGAAGAGGCGCUUCUCCUCGCUCGCUCCUUUCCUCUACCCAGGCAUCGGUUACGGAGGAAGGGGGGCAGAGAAGGAGGCUCGCUAUCACCCCUUGCCUUGCUUCGUCUGUGUGUCUCUGUGGGGCGGAUGAGAUUGGUGAUUACUCAUACCUCGACAUAAGCACACAGACGCAAGCAAAAACGCAACGGGACACUUUCCUUCCGGGGCCUCUCUCACCCUCGCUUCUCACUGUCUCUUUGUCUUUGCUAUCUGCACUUGUCCUCCCGUGCUGUUUGGUGCGGUUGUUUCUCCCGCGCCCCCCCCCGCCCCGCCCCCGUCGCUGCUGUGUGGCUCCUAUUUUCCCCGUUGUCGUCGUGCGCAGCCUUUGCCUGCACAUGCGCCGGCUUUGCGCUUUCACAUCGGAGCGUCGUGUGGCCAUCAGGCUUCUCAAAGCCCCUUCCUUCUCCUUGUUUGUCGUCUUUCUCCCUCCUGAACCCCUUCUUUUCCGCAUACAGAUGCUCGACUCGGAUGCAUGACACUUGCCAUUAUCGCCGUUGCUGAUAUCACCUUCUUUUCUUGUUUGCUUGCGUUGGAGGGUCACCUUCCUGCUUUCUGUUUUUGUUUUCGUCUUGUUUCUUUCUGACGUUGGUGUCUUUUUUUUUCUGGCUUCCUGUUUCGCCCUCUGCGUGCGUAUGUGUGUAUGCGUACAACGGGCUUGCAAAAGAAAGUGUGUGUGUGUGCGUGUGUGUCUGCGGAGGUGGAGGUGGAAGGCGCAUCAGGCGUUUCCUUUUCUUUCACUCAUUUCUACGCCUUCUCGUGUCUUUUGCUUCCUUUUCCUCACCCUCCUUUCUUCUUCGUGUACACGCUGGAUUUGCAGACACACACCCGUGUACGCGAGUGCAUGUUGCCGUCGCUUGUCGAUCACAUGUUGCUCUCUAUCUCUUACCGAAGUCCUGCCUGUUUUGUUUUGCUUUUUCGUUCUUUUUUGCGCUGCCUAUCUUUUUUUUUCUUUCGUCUUUCUUGUGGCGGCAUGUCUUCACGCUGAUGGGUGCUUCUUGGCUUCUCCACACGUGCUCUGUGUUUUACGAAGAAGUGUAUAUGUGUAUGUUUAUGUGUGUAUGUGGCAUGCAUUCUGUGGGCAACUCAUCCUUCUCCCAGCACGCUUCGUAUAUCUGUCUUUCUCCUACUCAGCGCUCUCUCAAUCACUCUCUCGUGGCUCAGAAUUCGACUCUGAAAGAUCGGAUGAUCGGUGUGGCUGACAGUAGAGUCGAUAGCACGAAAAAAGAAAAGAGUAAGAUGUGGAGGAAGAGGGGGAGGAACGGUGAACGUAGCCGAUGGUGACUGGGUGCAUGCGCAGCAUACAGCACACGGAAGGGUGCGCAUGGAUACGUAGCGGUCGAGAAGCAAAAGAAGACUGUGAAGAAGGCAGCGAAAGCACUGUUUGCGGUCCUCAUGACCCCCUACGCGCUGCUCUUGAUGCAGCGGCUACUCUCGCAUUCCUUGCUCUCUCUUAUCCAUUGUCAUCAGUUCCCUUGAGUUUGUGUGUGCGAGUCUAUCAAUCUGCCCUCUCACCCUCUCUCCGCACUCAGCCUUUUACACCUCUUCCUUUUUAGACGUCAAGCACCACGCCGCACAGCACACGCACGCUGCGAGCAGCAACGGAGGACCCAAAAUGAAGACAAGAGGCAACUUAAGCGCUUCUUUUUCUGCCCCCCCCCCCCACUUCCUCUGUGUGUGUGUGUGUAUGUCUUUUGCCUUCACCCCUCCUUCUCUCCCUCGACGCUGCAUGCUGUGGAGAAGACUGACGGCGCGAGAAGGUGAAUGAGCGCUAUCUCCUUUUCGGUGUUUUUUACUUGGUAUUGUUGUCGCGUGCUGAAGCAUCCACGUGCACACAAUGUGCGGUACUAGUCAUACGAAAAGGCUGGUCUCGCUGGGAAGAGGGAUGGGGGCUGUUGGCGCGAGAAGGGAAAGUAGCGAGAGAGAGAGAGGAAUCCAUAGAGUAAAGCGUCAGCAGGGAAGAGGAAAGACACUUGAACCGGCUGGCAGAGAGCAGUCUCUUGCUCUCUAGGUGACCAAAGAAACGUGUAGAAAUGCAGUGGUGCACCAUCGACGCAUGCACGAGAGUUAAGAGAGAGCGCGAUGCGAGAUCAAUGGGAGUCGGGGAGAAGAGUAGUAGGAUGCACGAGUUACACAGAAUAGCGGAGGAGAUUGAGUGUAUGUGUAUGCGUGUGUGUGUGUGUGGUUGGCGGGGUGUGCUGUGGCUGCGUGUUGUUCUUCUUUCGUGAAGGCCACUGCUGCCCCCGCCUCUCUCUCGCCCGUCAUGACCUCUAUUUAACGCCAUCUCCACCCAUUAAUGGAAUGGCCGCGCGUCCAUGCAACUCCCCGCUCUUAUUCUACGCAGCUGCUCACACUCUCAUGUGUCUUGCUUCAGUGGGCUUCCCUACUCUGGAGUGUCCUCUUGUGGACUGCUUGUGUUUGCUGAAGAUGGCCUUGUCCUUUCUCAUCUCUUGUUGCUGUGAGUUUGCAUGUUUGUUUGUUUUUUUUCGUUGGCUCUUUCUCUCUGGCCUUUGCACCCGCUCCUCUCCCUCUCUUUGAAAGGUCAGCAGCCCCUCCUCGUGCUUUUCCCCUUCAAUCCGGUUCACCCAUACAUAACGCGAGCCACCCUUGUGGGUCUUUUUCUUUGCGCAUGUGUGUACGUGUUUGUGUACCUCGCGGAGACGUUUUUGUUCUGUUUCAAGGUAUCUCCCUGCACUGUUUUUUUUUUCUUUUUGCUAGCCGAUCUCGUAUACUUUUGGGGGAGUUUUACUUGUAUGUGUGUGUGUGUCCCCCUCUCUCCCUCGUUCUCUCUCUCUUGUCCCUCUCCUCCUCUCCUCUGCUCGCUCUGCCGUGCAUCUUUUCGUAUACUCCCCUUUGUCUUUUAUGUUUUCUUUUUUGUUUCCGGAGGAAGGGGGAAAAAGGGGGCCUUCCUUUCCCUUUUUCGUUUUUUUUGGUGUUUCGCGCACCUCUUCUAUACCUUCAUCUCGAUAUCUUCACAUGAACGCGCACACAGGAAUACAAAACACGGAAAAAAAAAGAAGAGCGAAACAGCAAAAAAAAAAAGAAAAGGAAACCCAUCGCGCACACUAGGCACGCGCACGCAGAGAUAGGAGACGCAUGGGGUAAGCAACAAGAGAACGGAAGAUGUUAGGCACUUUUUUUUGUGAGUGAUUGACAUCAGCACGACGGAUCGCGGCAUAAGCUCAGUAGCGACAAUGACAAAAAAAGCACACAUACACACAUGCACAACGACAGCAGGAAAGAGAUGACGAUUUUGCUUUCAUCGAGGCUGCAAAAAGAAAUACACACAAAAAAAAAUAAUAAUAAAGAAAAACGAAACAGCGGGGAAUGCUUGUCGGGCAAUCCACACACGAGAACAAAGAGGAGCGUGAGUGCGGAGAAGAGCGAAAAGAAAUCAAAAAAAAAAGAAAUAAGAAAAGGGGAGAAGGAGAGAAGGUGGAGAAAGCAAGAAUGUAAAGAAAGAGAAUGUUACUCAGGUCACUGUGCAGAGCUUCGCUUUCGCGCGUGUGUUUCUUGGCAGAGAUGCUUUUAUGUGUAUUGGCUCCCCUUUUUCUCUCACUCCAUUGUACACGUCGUCGAGGUGCUCUUCAUGUUCUUUUUUAGCGUGUGUGUGUGCCGCCCUGUCUUUCUCUUGCCUCAAGGCCCUUUGCUUAAAAUGCUCUCUUCUUCUCCAUCCCUUUUCUUAUAAAAAGUCUUCUUUUCUCCCUGUAGCCCACUUUGGCCGUCUGGCCUGCUCUCUUUCUGCAAGUGGAUGUUCCGCACUUCUUCUCCGCUUGUUGCUAUUGCUGUUUUCACUAGAUCCUUUUCUUUUUGCGUCCUUUCUUUUUUACCUCUGCCCCACACUUUCACCUCUCUCUCUCUCUUCUAUGCAUCUCACAUCUGCGCGCUGGCUCAGCAGAGCUCGCCUUUCGUUUGUUAUUGCUGCUUUGUUUUUGUUUUUGUGUGUAUGCGUGUUUGUUUGUGUCUUGGUUUGUUUUGCGCUUGUGCUCUCGCCGGUAUAAGUUCUCCAUGCCUCCUCCCUCCCUCUGCACGAUGUUUGUGUGUGUGUGUGUGUGUGUGUGUUUUAUUCUCCUAUCACUCAUGUGUUUGUGCGCUUUUUAUUGUAUGUUUGCUUUUUGUGUGUUUGUGUGUGUGUGUGUGUUUUCUGAUUUCUCUGUCCUGUGCCACAUUUUUUUUUCGCCCCAUCUCUCGCCUCUUGCGUUGUUUGCUUGCUUUUGACACUUUGCUACCUGUUCUCCUUUUCUCUCUCUCGAUCUCUUUCAAUUUCUUCUCGCUUCGCUUGCUCUUUCUUUCAGCACUCGCUUCCUUUCACCCUCACCUCCUCCCCCCCCCCUCCCUCUUCUCCCUCUGGCUGCCUGUCUCGAUAGCAUACCGUGUGCGUUUUCUUUUUUUUAUAUAUAGUUUUCGAGCACGGAAAGGACGAAGAAGAAACGAGAAACAGCUUUCUAUCUCCCUCCCACCUACGUAUCGCCGUCACGCGCGCGCACAGGCACAAGCACGCGCAUGACAGCAUAUUGAUGCCCUGCUUCUUUUAUCCCUUGCUGUGUUUUCGCUUCUUUUUCUUUUUUUUUCCUUUUCGAGUGUGCUUUGGUGGGUUUUCACGUCCUUCCUACCUUCAUGUGGCUCAACCACACCACCACCCCUUCUCUCUGUCUUCUCUCUUGUUCGAACAGAUACGCCCUUCCUCCUCGCUUCUUUCCUCAUUCACUCGAGGGCCCUUCUACCCACCCACCUCUCUCUUUCUCGUCCUUUGUUUGUCCUUCCACGAUCUUAUCCUCCCUUCUCCAUGUGUGUGUGUGUGUGCCACUCUCUUUCUCUCUUCACAUUCUUCCUCUCCAUUUUAGCGUUCAUCUUUUGGGGUUUGUUUGUAUGUUUGCGUCUGUUCUUUUUAUUUCUGUUUUAUUUUGGGGGUUCGUUUCCGUUUUUGUUGGUGCGCGCGUGCUGCUCAGUCACGCUGUGUCCAUUUUCCUCCCUCCCCCUCCCCCUCCUCUCAAACCAUUACCGCCUUUACACCUGUCUUUGUUGCCUUCGUCCCGGGCUGAACCCCUCCUUCUCUCACCAUCUCCUACAUGCCAUCAUCUUCAUCUGCACCCUCUCUCUCUUGAGCGCUUUUUCCCCCUGUAAUUUGCGUCUCGACUUUGUUUUACCUGCGCAUGCCAUGAUUGCCUCUCUCUCUCUGUUUUAUUGUUGUUUUCGGUUCUGUUGGUGCUGUUUUCUUGCUUUGCUCCCCCGCCUCCAGUCCUCCACCCUUUCAUCGCGCAACACGUUCAAACACACUUUUCGUGAGGGACAGGCCAUGAUCAAUCUAUUGGCUUGCGGGUUUCGCUCUCUCCUUUUUGUCGGGUGGCGGUCAGCUAUGCGCUACACACGCACACACGGCAUAACAAGGAAAACAGAAACUCCGUUGUGUUCUGCGACUGUUUCUAGUGUAUGCGCGUGCGGGUGUGUGUUUUUCUUUUUAUGUGGGUGUGAUUUCUCAGCAGGACGUACACGGACGUCAACGGGGCCUCUUCCUUGGUUUCUUUGCUUAUCUCUUCGCUUUCUUUUUUUUUGACGUGAGCGUUCCAGAGCACAUCCCCAUACGCAUACACUUUCUCUUGCUCGCUCACUUUAAUGUGCUCACACAGGCGGCGGUGCACAUACAUACACCGCUUCACAUGCCCAGAGACAUGCCCCAUCCCCUUCUACCUUGCCUUCGUGCUUUGUGUUUAUCUGUGUGUGUGUGUGUGUGUGUGUGUGCAACGUACGAUUGUGUGUACGUGCGUGGGUAAAGUGGUCUGUUGACGUCUUUUCUGAGUUUUGAACUGCAGGCUCGAACUGGUGGAGAGAGGAGCGAAUCAGAAAAAAAAAACAGCAAAAUUUGACUUUUAAAGGCAACAUGCAAAAGAAGGAGAAGUGAGUAGGAUGAGGGAAAAAAAAGGCAUAAAAACGGUUGGGAAGGAUUGAACAAGCACGCAAGAAUAAGCGAAACACAACAGCAAUUAAAAAAAGAGCCGUGGUCACCAAAGAACAAAAAAGUCGGCUUCGCACAUGCUGCCGUUCGCAUGCGUAUUUCACUGCUUCCUUUGCUUGGUCCUGAGUUCACGAAACGAAGUGCCUCAACCCCUUCUUGCCGCCGCGCCCGUCGCCUCUCGAAGCGCACAUACACAAACGCACACGGCUGUAUUUUCCUGUUUCUUUCUUCGGUGUAUGCGUGUGUAUUUUCUGCGUUACUGGUGAGGAAGAGCCCUUGUCACUACCCCCAGCCCCCGUCGCACGUUUCUCCUCUGCAUUAUCCACGCCAGUCGUACUUGUUAGAGGGGGUCAGUAGAGCAACUCUGCAGGUGGUGCGCAGCGUCACCGUACGCGCUCCCACUCUCCCUCUCUCUCUGGACUCACUUGUCUUCUUCGGCAGCUAAGCUGCUUUGCAUGUUUGUUUCGAUCUUGUGUGUGCUGCCCUGCCUUUCUUGAGUUUCUUUUUUGUUUUCGUUUCUUUCUCCCUCGCGCCUCUUGCGUGCGAAGUGCGAGUCGCGUAUGCCUUCGUCUGUCUGUGUGUGAUUGAGUCGUAACUCCCGCAGAGAAC